rnacentral:tRNA from 1 species
GCCCAUUUUGCUCAGUGGUUAGAGUGUCAGCCCACAGACUGAAGGGUCAUGGGUUCAAUUCCGGUCAAGGGCA